UACGUAGGGUGCGAGCGUUGUCCGGAAUUAUUGGGCGUAAAGAGCUUGUAGGCGGUUUGUCGCGUCUGCUGUGAAAAUCCGGGGCUCAACCCCGGACUUGCAGUGGGUACGGGCAGACUGGAGUGUGGUAGGGGAGACUGGAAUUCCUGGUGUAGCGGUGGAAUGCGCAGAUAUCAGGAGGAACACCAAUGGCGAAGGCAGCUCUCUGGGACGGUACUGACGCUGAGACGCGAAAGCGUGGGGAGCGAACAGG
rnacentral:rRNA from 1 species